CCGAGGGGCCAUUGUUGGGGGAUAUGGCUGGAGAUAUACUCUGGGAAGGAGGUGCUCUGUGUCAACAAAAACAAGGGAAGAUGAGCCAAGCAAAAUGGGGAUGAAAGAUGUUUAAGGUAACCGUAUAACUGAAGAGUUGACAAAGCCAACCAAGACACUGCCUGGACCUAUGAUAAGGCACUAGAAAAUCCAGGGAUCAUCUGGAAUGCAAAAUUAAGGGAUCCAUUAGAAUGGAGGUAUCACGGCUGUCUUCUGGAUCACUGGAUUUUCAAUUCUGUUGACCACUGCAUGAAGGAAGAAAAAUCGAAUUCAGAUUGGAAAAGACAACUAAUCCUACUUGAAUUGCUUCAGACAACUUUGAAAGGAGCUUCCUUCC
ensembl:lncRNA